UCCUCUUCUGUUCUCAGCUGUGUCCUCGGUAUCGCGGGAAGGUAGGACUUUAUGGUCCUUAAACACUGAAUCACUUACACGUUGCUGCAGCUAAAAGAGAGGCUCCUGGCGGGAGUCAGAGCUGUUACCUGAGGCAGGAAAUCUGGAAGCUGGCACCACGGCGAGAGGACUCAGAGGAUCCUGGCUGUAUCCAGAGCAUUCGUUUUGUGCCAGUACCUGAAUCCUGAAGGCAAGUCCACGCCACACACCCUAAGACACAGAGCUGGCCCCACACCUUCAGUCUUCCUCCACCAAGUAGAGCUGCCUCAGGUCCAAGAAUCACAGCUAACCAAAAUGACCCCAGACCUGGGCCACCAUUAUUCCUUCUCCUGACCAGACGUCACCUCCUCAACCUCCGUGCUCCACCUAAUACUAUGCCCUUGACCUUGUGGUGAGGACUUUGCGUGAACGUCUCUUCCACACCAGAAUAUAAGCACGUGGAAGGUGAGAGCUUGUUUUAUUAAGCCUCAGCAUCCUCAGUUUCCCCAAAUACAUUCACAGUCAACAAUUGUGACUUGAGUUGGGUUGAAUUCAGUGAGCUGAAUGAUUUGGCUUGCAUCAGAGCAGGCCUGCAGACGUCGCUGGCUGCAGAAAAGGACUGACACUCCAGGACUGGCUUUCAACUCAGACCUUAUCCAAGGUGGGAAACAGAAACUGAGAAAUUAGAGUUUAUGAAACGGACAUGCAGAGAUCACUGAAGCAUCGUAUCUGCUCAAAUUCGCUUUACAAAACCUUAUUAAAUUCAAUUUCACAGGAUAUAGUUCACAGAUUUAGAAAUUAGUUGGAUAUCAAUCAGCUUGACUUACUCUCGUAGGAUUUUCUCUGAAGAUAAACUGACUAGCCCGUCAGGCUGUGCAGUAGCCUUUGGUCACCCUCAAAGGCCUUCAGGGUCGGUGUGCUCCCUCAUCUGAACACUCGCGGCCACAUGCCGAGCGGGCGUGACGUGCACAGCUUACACUGGGGGCCAAAGCUUUGAGGAAACACAGCUCAUUCUCACUCUUCCAAAGUAACCAUCUAUCAGUAAACUUUUUAUUGCAUUUAUUUUAAAAUCAUGAUUUAAGAAGUUAUCAAGUGAC